GAUGAACGCUGGCGGCGUGCCUAAUACAUGCAAGUCGAGCGAACAGACGAGGAGCUUGCUCCUCUGACGUUAGCGGCGGACGGGUGAGUAACACGUGGAUAACCUACCUAUAAGACUGGGAUAACUUCGGGAAACCGGGGCUAAUACCGGAUAAUAUAUUAAACCGCAUGGUUCAAUAGUAAAAGACGGUUUUGCUGUCACUUAUAGAUGGAUCCGCGCCGCAUUAGCUAGUUGGUAAGGUAACGGCUUACCAAGGCAACGAUGCGUAGCCGACCUGAGAGGGUGAUCGGCCACACUGGAACUGAGACACGGUCCAGACUCCUACGGGAGGCAGCAGUAGGGAAUCUUCCGCAAUGGGCGAAAGCCUGACGGAGCAACGCCGCGUGAGUGAUGAAGGUCUUCGGAUCGUAAAACUCUGUUAUUAGGGAAGAACAAAUGUGUAAGUAACUAUGCACGUCUUGACGGUACCUAAUCAGAAAGCCACGGCUAACUACGUG
rnacentral:rRNA from 1 species